rnacentral:tRNA from 1 species
AGCCCCGGGGUGUAAUAUAACACAUUAGAUUGCAAAUCUGAAGUAGCCGGCUACUUCCCGGCCGGGGCUU